AUUUAUAUCAGAAACUUAUCAGUUCCUGGGGGAUGCUAAUACAUCGUGGCAAUGCACAUUUACACAAGAGCGUAACUCCUCGACAAAAUUUAAUCUCUGCAGUCACACAGAAGAGGAAGAUGGAAGGGGAAAUAUUACGUAACCCAGUAACGAAAGUUGCACAGGACUCCACCCUUAGGUUGAAGCGUGAGAUUCUCACCCCGCUGCACAGUCUGCCCAGGCACCAACUGAAAUUUGAACUUUUG